ensembl:lncRNA novel transcript
CCAACCUCCCUCCUCCCCAUCCCAGCUUUAUCCUCUGGGGCUUCUCCUGUGGUGUGCAGGUAAAUGUUUAACAAGCAGCUCUCGCAGGGGAUUGAGGGGAGCUCAUGUGAAGUGUUCGUCAACAUCUGUGGUGUAAAUAUUCUCAUCAUGGCUGAUUUCAAGCUACCAACAUGACAUGGCUGAACACGAGAUUGAGAAGAAAUGUGCACCAUCUGUCCAGGAGCGGGCGAGCUGGAUCCAGCACACCUGGAUUCUCCUCCCCUGACACGUGACAACCCUGCAGAGACUUGAGAUCAGCCGCUCAGAUUAGGUGAUCAGAAGCAUUUUGUCACGGAGACACGGAGUUCUGGGCCGGCUCUUAUCUUCAGGGCAUCUGGUAGGGUGGAAAGCACUUCAAGUCAUGCGCCAAGCCCACGUCCUAUUCCCUGGGCCCAUUCCCUUCCGUUGAAGUGCUGGAGGCAGAGCUCGCAGCUGAAGACCUACAGGCGGCUCUCCCUCGUGUCUGGGCAUGAGCGGUCUGUGGAGGCAGCAGCCAGGCUGUGUCCAGGUAGCCCUGACGGCCACUGCACAAGAGCAGUGUCGGGUAGAGUCCGAGCACCCAUCAGCUCAGCCCCAGGCUCCAUCAGAGGCGGUGGAACGGGCCCUGAGGAUGCCUCAGUCCUGGGCCUUAGUGGGAGGCCUUCCAGGUGAAGCCCUGGGGACCAGGUAGCCCUGCUCAGCAAGCAGCCCUGGACCCUACCUCAGCAGCCCCGGACCCCACCUCGGCCGCCGCAGGAAGCCAAGGGGAUGAGGGACCAACUCGGGAAAUGGUGGGUGAGGCUGGUGGCUCCUGGAAACGCCGGUCACCAGGGCGGCAGCACCGGUCCUCACCCCUCCCUGCCAGGACUUCAGCAGCUCUCAGCCCCUAAGCAUGAUAGUUUCUUGGGUCAACCAAAUAGUCAUCUAGGGGUUACUGUGAAGGUGUUCUGUAAGUAUGUCACAUCUGCAGUCAGCUGACUGGAGUGAAAGGCCAUUACUCUCAAUCAUGUGGCGGGGGUAGGGGUGGGAAGCCUUGUGCAACCAGUGAAAUGCCUUGAGAGCAGAGCUGGGGUUUCCCUGAGGACAGAGAGAUUUUACCUGUGGACUAUAGCAUCGCCUACUGCCCGAGAGGCCCAGGUGCCGCCUGCCCUAUGGAUUUCCACCUUGCUCAGCCAGCCCCCACCUUGUCUGAGCCAAUUUUUCACAAUAAAUCUCUCCCUCCCUCCCUUC